AUUGAACGCUGGCGGCAGGCCUAACACAUGCAAGUCGAGCGAGCGGCGGACGGGUGAGUAAUGUCUGGGCAACUGCCUGAUGGAUGGUGAUAACUACUGGAAACGGUAGCUAAUACCGCAUACCAUCAGAUGUGCCCCGAUGGGAUUAGCUUGUAGGUGGGGUAACGGCUCACCUAGACGACGAUCCCUAGCUGGUCUGAGAGGAUGACCAGCCACACGGGAACUGAGACACGGUCCAGACUCCUACGGGAGGCAGCAGUGGGGAAUAUUGCACAAUGGGCGCAAGCCUGAUGCAGCCAUGCCGCGUGGAUGAAGAAGGCCUUCGGGUUGUAAAGCACUUUCAGCGGGGAGGCGUUACUCGCAGAAGAAGCACCGGCUAACUCCGUGCCAGCCGCCGCGGUAAUAC
rnacentral:rRNA from 1 species